rnacentral:rRNA from 1 species
UACAGAGGUCUCAAGCGUUGUUCGGAUUCAUUGGGCGUAAAGGGUGCGUAGGUGGCGGGGCAAGUCUGGUGUGAAAUCCCGGGGCUCAACCCCGGAACUGCACUGGAUACUGCCUUGCUAGAGCACUGGAGAGGGAACUGGAAUUUACGGUGUAGCAGUGAAAUGCGUAGAUAUCGUAAGGAAGACCAGUGGCGAAGGCGAGUUCCUGGACAGUUGCUGACACUGAGGCACGAAGGCUAGGGGAGCAAAC